GAGUUGGUAGCUCAGUGGAAGAGUGCAUGCUUUGUAUGUGUGAUGUUCUGGUUUCAAUCCCGGGCUUCUCU